rnacentral:rRNA from 1 species
CAGUGAGGAAUAUUGCACAAUGGGCGAAAGCCUGAUGCAGCGACGCCGCGUGGAGGAUGAAGGUUUUCGGAUUGUAAACUCCUGUUAAGUGUGAAAAAAGACUCGUUUUUAAUAGAAGCGAGGGAUGAUGGUAGCACUAAAGAAAGCACCGGCUAACUUCGUGCCAGCAGCCGCGGUAAUACGAGGGGUGCAAACGUUAUUCGGAAUCACUGGGCGUAAAGGGUGCGUAGGCGGCAAGAUAAGUCAAUUAUUAAAUCUCCUAGCUUAACUAGGAAUCUGUGAUUGAAACUGACUUGCUUGAGGAUGGAAGAGAGAAGUGGAAUUCUCGGAGUAGCGGUAAAAUGCGUAGAUCUCGAGAGGAACACCGAUGGCGAAGGCAGCUUCUUGGUCCAUAUCUGACGCUGAAGUACGAAAGCGUGGGGAGCAAACAGGAUUAGA